GUCAUUAAAACCUUUCCCAAUGUGGAGAACAGGUUUAGUUGCCCAGGCACCUUCAGUGUCUCAGCUGAGCGACCAGGGCCUUCCACAUUGCAAAAAUUCCCAUGAUGGCCAACAGAGAGAGCUCGAGGACCACAGACCCGGAGAGGCGGGUUCCUCUGCCCAGGCAGUGAUGGCCAGCAGAAGGCGCACCAUCGGCUUUUCUGACCCAGGGCACCUGAGAGCAGGGAGGGCUUUGAUUGCUCCCAGAGUACUCAGGGCCUCUGCCGCUGCCUCAGUACAGAGAGCAGAGCUGCAUUUCCAGCAGGUUGUGCCGCCCGCCCCAGAGGAGAUCUUGGGAGCUUUGUAGCAACUUGGCAUCUCCUGAGUCGCCAGAGAGAAUUUGUCUUAUUGUACUGAGUGCUGAGGAGUGGGCUCUGGGUGGCUUCCCUGGGCAAGGUGGUUGCUGAGAUGCACAGGCCCUUGCAUUUUCUGGGCUGUUCCCGUGUUUCAUUCCUCCCCUUCCUGGACAGUAUUUGAACAAGACAUAUUUUACUAAAGGUCUUGUGGAUUGCGGAGUCCCACGACAUCACCUCAUCGAUGCAGUCGAUGGUUUGUUCCAGAUUCAGGCUUGUUUCCGGGAAGAAACCCUGACAGAAAUUCAGAAGAACGGGAGCUGCAUUCCGUUAGGACAUGAAUACAUGAAAUGCUCGUCUUGGGAACUCCUAGAAGAAUGAGCUGGGACCCACUUUCCGAGUCCUGCUAGAACCAGUGACCGAGGCAGGGAUCUGGCUAUCACUCAUCCUCCUGGAUCUCCCAGUGCUGGGUCAGCUGACCUCCAAAGUUCCAGGAUCUGAACACAAAGAAAAUAAAAACGCCCUGGAAGACAAGUGUGAUGCAUUGAGGUCUGUGAAAGCCACAAAGGAAGCAAAAGUCAAACAGCUGAAGGAGAAAACACAUAACCUGGAAGAAUUCUAUGAACAAGGAUAAGUGCCUACAAAAAAGAAGCUGAAAAUGACACUGUGAACUGGCGGCAAAAAAGAAUCAGCUGGCAGCUGCAGAUAUCAAGUAGUGGCCAGACUGUGUGGAAACUUUGUCCAUGCUAACAUUCCUCGGGGGUGGUGUCAAUUGUCAUAAUCUGUAGGAAAGCAGUGUGUCGUACAAUGAAUCAUACCCAUCAACGUGGUAGUGCCAUUUCAUGGCCCUCGUCUUUGCAACCCUGGGAAACAUGGUGACGAUAUAAGUUAUAGAAGAAUAGAGCUUUAUGAUAAAAGACACUUGUCACAUGAUGAGUUAGGCAAAGAUUGAAAAUGGGAAGGAAUUCUAUGAAUUCUGAACCCUACAGGCAUGGAAUGAGUAAUGAAAGGAUGUAACAAUAGCUUUGAUCCUACUGUACAUUGAUAAUCAUGUGCAAAGUGUUUCAUGUGUAAUAAUAAAUUGUAUCAGGGGACAGAUAUGAGGUUGUUGGGAACACGGGCAGCUUAUUUAAAAUCAUACCCAAUAUUGGGCCUUAUCUGACAAGAGCAAUUGUAACUCACAGGCAACAAAUUGAACAAACAUGGGAACAGCAGGCAGAGCUCCCCUUUAGACACCAGAUCGCAGUUCAUGAGAAGAAUGCUCAGGACAACUAGAUCAAGACUCAGAUCUGGGACAGGGAGAUGGCGGAGCAGGGCAGGGAGGUCGCUUACUUGAAAUACAGAUGU